rnacentral:rRNA from 1 species
UGAAGUACCUAGCUAUAUUCUCUAUAGGCAAAUCCGUAGAGAAUGGCGAAAUACGAUAGUACUCGGAGUCUUCGGACAAAGAGAUAGUGCGCCUAAGGGCUUCCAAGAAAAACCUCUAAACUUCAGGUAAUGAGUACCCGUACCGCAAACCGACACAGGUAGUCGAGGAGAGAAUCCUAAGGUGCUCGAGAGAUUCAUGGCUAAGGAAUUAGGCAAAAUAGACCCGUAACUUCGGGAGAAGGGUCGCCCCGAGUAAUCGGGGCCGCAGUGAAGAGGUCCAGGCGACUGUUUAUCAAAAACACAGGGCUCUGCAAAAUCGUAAGGUGAAGUAUAGGGCCUGACACCUGCCCGGUGCUGGAAGGUUAAGAGGAGAUGUUAUCUUCGGAGAAGCAUUGAAUUGAAGCCCCAGUAAACGGCGGCCGUAACGAUAACGGUCCUAAGGUAGCGAAAUUCCUUGUCGGGUAAGUUCCGACCUGCACGAAUGGUGUAACGAUCUGGACACUGUCUCAGCCAUGAGCUCGGUGAAAUUGUAGUAACGGUGAAGAUGCCGUUUACCCGCAGUGGGACGAAAAGACCCUGUGCACCUUUACUAUAGCUUAGUAUUGACCUUGGAUAAAUGAUGUGUAGGAUAGGUUGGAGACUGUGAAGUGGCGUCGCCAGGCGUUGUGGAGUCAUUGUUGAAAUACAACCCUUUGUUUAUCUGAGGCCUAACCCCGUAAUGCGGGGGACAUUGCUUGGUGGGUAGUUUGACUGGGGUGGUCGCCUCCAAAAGAGUAACGGAGGCUUCUAAAGGUUCCCUCAGUACGCUUGGUAACCGUGCGUAGAGUGCAAUGGCAUAAGGGAGCUUGACUGAGAGACAUACAGGUCGAUCAGGUACGAAAGUAGAGCAUAGUGAUCCGGUGGUUCCGCAUGGAAGGGCCAUCGCUCAAAGGAUAAAAGGUACGCCGGGGAUAACAGGCUGAUCUCCCCCAAGAGCUCAUAUCGACGGGGGGGUUUGGCACCUCGAUGUCGGCUCGUCACAUCCUGGGGCUGGAGAAGGUCCCAAGGGUUGGGCUGUUCGCCCAUUAAAGUGGCACGCGAGCUGGGUUCAGAACGUCGUGAGACAGUUCGGUCUCUAUCUACUGUGGGCGUUAGAAAUUUGAGUGGAUCUGAUUCUAGUACGAGAGGACCGAAUUGGACAAACCUCUAGUGUAUCUGUUGUCCCGCCAGGGGCACCGCAGAGUAGCUACGUUUGGAAGGGAUAAGCGCUGAAAGCAUAUAAGCGCGAAACCCACCACAAGAUGAGAUUUCUUUUAAGGGUCGUGGAAGAUGACCACGUUGAUAGGCUAUAGAUGUAAAGGCAGUAAUGUCAUAGUCGAGUAGUACUAAUAACCC